rnacentral:rRNA from 1 species
AACGAACGCUGGCGGCAGGCUUAACACAUGCAAGUCGAGCGCCCCGCAAGGGGAGCGGCAGACGGGUGAGUAACGCGUGGGAAUCUACCCAUCCCUACGGAACAACUCCGGGAAACUGGAGCUAAUACCGUAUACGCCCUUUGGGGGAAAGAUUUAUCGGGGAUGGAUGAGCCCGCGUUGGAUUAGCUAGUUGGUGGGGUAAUGGCCUACCAAGGCGACGAUCCAUAGCUGGUCUGAGAGGAUGAUCAGCCACACUGGGACUGAGACACGGCCCAGACUCCUACGGGAGGCAGCAGUGGGGAAUAUUGGACAAUGGGCGCAAGCCUGAUCCAGCCAUGCCGCGUGAGUGAUGAAGGCCCUAGGGUUGUAAAGCUCUUUCACCGGUGAAGAUAAUGACGGUAACCGGAGAAGAAGCCCCGGCUAACUUCGUGCCAGCAGCCGCGGUAACAC